rnacentral:lncRNA from 1 species
UAAACCAAGAACUUUUGGAACCUUUUUAACACUUAGAAAAUUUUCUUGUUUGGAGAGUCACACGCCCAUGUGGGUAGGCCGUGUGGUCACACACACCCGUGUGACAUGGGACACGCUCGUGUCCUCAGCCUGGGUAACUCUCUGACUAUGACGUCAUCAAGCAAAUAAGGUCACACGACCAAGUCACACGCCCGUGUGCUGAGGCCGUGUGGCGAAUUAAAUUCCAAAAAUUAAG